rnacentral:lncRNA from 10 species
UGUACUCUGGCUUUUGCAUUCAUGAUUUUUUGUCUCAGUUUUCACCCCAUGUAAGCCUAGAUUUUAAAAUCCAUAAUUUCACUACAUUGCAAGAACAAAAGUACCUACUUACAACACACUUUAAUAAAUUUCCUAGAAUGAUUGGAAAUUUUGAAGUCACAGAGGUUAUUUCCUUCCAAUCCCAUCCCAAAUGGAGGUUGCAGCAGGGUAGAGUUUUUGGACAAUCUUGUUUACUGCUGCAUCCCCAGUGUCAAGAAGGCUGCCUGAACAUAGAAAGUCUUCAAUAUAUAUUUGCUGAAAUAAAAGUAAAAAUUCAGUCUGGUGUCUCCAUAAUCACAGCCAUGGCCUUGUAAACAGGUAGUGAUGCGGACAGAGCCAUCUGUGCUGCGCUGCAGACCCACACAGAGGUCUACUGGAAGGGAGGAGCCCGAGGCGAGUCCACUGAAUGUGGGCACUUCCCAUUUUGGAUGCUGCAGAGAGUCUCCAGCAGCAAGAAGGCAAUCACAAGAUGCAGCCUCACAGCCUUGGACUUACCAGCCUC